UCAGGUGAACUGGACGAACUGAGCCUCGCUGGUGACGUCACUGCCGCUGAAGAUGACGCGUGGUAUUUGGACGCAUCUGCUCUCCACCGAAGUUAAUGUGAAGGAUUGGCGUAUCAUAUGCACGCAAAAUUGGCAUUUGGCGUAUGCAUUACACGCAAUUAGAACGUGUAAAGUCGUGUUAUUUAUACGCAGACUGAUGAGAACGGGUUGCCUCAAUGUGCAGG